rnacentral:rRNA from 1 species
GUCCUUUAGAUUAUAAUUUAAGGUUUAACCUGCUCUAUGAAUUUAUUAAAUGGCCGCAGUAAUUUGACUGUGCAAAGGUAGCAUAAUCAUUAGUUUUUUAAUUAAAAGCUUGUAUGAAUGGUUGGACGAGAUAAGAUCUGUCUCUUUAUAAAGGUUAGAAUUUAAUUUUUAAGUUAAAAAGCUUAAAUAAUUAUAAAAGACGAGAAGACCCUUUAGAUUUUUAUUUAAUUAUUUUUAGUAAAAUUUUAAAGAAAUAAAAUGAAAUUAAAUAUAAUUAAAUUUUAUUGGGGUAAUAAAAAGAUUAAAAUAAUUCUUUUUUAUUAUUAACAUAGAUAAUUGAUUAAUUGAUCCAAAAUUUUUGAUAAAAAGAUUAAAUUACCUUAGGGAUAACAGCGUAAUUUUUUUAGAGAGUUCUUAUCGAUAAAAAAGUUUGCGACCUCGAUGUUGGAUUAAAAAUAUUUUAGGCGUAGAAGUUUAGAUAAAUGGUCUGUUCGACCAGUAAUUUUUU